rnacentral:rRNA from 1 species
GAUGAACGCUGGCGGCGUGCCUAAUACAUGCAAGUCGAGCGAACAGAUGAGGAGCUUGCUCCUCUGACGUUAGCGGCGGACGGGUGAGUAACACGUGGAUAACCUACCUAUAAGACUGGGAUAACUUCGGGAAACCGGAGCUAAUACCGGAUAAUAUAUUGAACCGCAUGGUUCAAUAGUGAAAGACGGUUUUGCUGUCACUUAUAGAUGGAUCCGCGCCGCAUUAGCUAGUUGGUAAGGUAACGGCUUACCAAGGCAACGAUGCGUAGCCGACCUGAGAGGGUGAUCGGCCACACUGGACCUGAGACACGGUCCAGACUCCUACGGGAGGCAGCAGUAGGGAAUCUUCCGCAAUGGGCGAAAGCCUGACGGAGCAACGCCGCGUGAGUGAUGAAGGUCUUCUGAUCGUAAAACUCUGUUAUUAGGGAAGAACAAAUGUGUAAGUAACUAUGCACGUCUUGACGGUACCUAAUCAGAAAGCCACGGCUAACUACGUG